rnacentral:rRNA from 1 species
AGAUGCCUACGGGGGGCAGCAGUGGGGAAUAUUGCACAAUGGGGGAAACCCUGAUGCAGCGACGCCGCGUGAGUGAAGAAGUAUUUCGGUAUGUAAAGCUCUAUCAGCAGGGAAGAGAAUGACGGUACCUGAGUAAGAAGCCCCGGCUAACUACGUGCCAGCAGCCGCGGUAAUACGUAGGGGGCAAGCGUUAUCCGGAUUUACUGGGUGUAAAGGGAGCGUAGACGGCGAAGAAAGUCUGAAGUGAAAGCCCGCGGCUCAACCGCGGAACUGCUUUGGAAACUUUUUUGCUG